rnacentral:tRNA from 1 species
ACUCCUGUCGUCUAGUAUGGCCAAGGACACCUCUCUUUCACGGAGGUAACAUGGGUUCAAAUCCCAUCGGGAGUGCCA